CAGGACUCAAACUGGACUAGGUCCACAAUGCUGGUAGUGAUGCUCACAGGACUGGGAGGUCGGGACUCAAGAAUAACGGGACAAACAGGAUUACUGGGCCUCACUUUUCUCCUAGUGGUGCUCCGAGGGUUGCUCGGCCUCCCCUCAGGUCUGGAAGGCUGUACAUAAGACUGGACCAGGCCAACGGGGCUAACAGGCCGUCUAUUGGGGCAUUGAGGGUUGCUUGGCCUCCCCUCAGGUCUGGAAGGCUGUACGUCAGGCUGGACCAGGCCAACGGGGCUAACAGGCCGUCUAGUGGGGCGUCGAGAGUUGCUCGGCCUCCCCUCAGGUCUGGAAGGCUGUACGUCAGGCUGGACCAGGACAACUGGGCUAACAGGCCGUCUAGUGGGGCGCCGAGAGUUGCUUGGCCUCCCCUCAGGUCUGGAUGGCUGUACGUCAGGCUGGACCAGGCCAACGGGUCUAACAGGCCGUCUAGUGGGGCGUCGAGAGUUGCUUGGCCUCCCCUCAGGUCUGGAAGGCUGUACGUCAGGCUGGACCAGGACAACUGGUCUAACAGGCCGUCUAGUGGGGCGUCGAGAGUUGCUUGGCCUCCCCUCAGGUCUGGAAGGCUGUACGUCAGGCUGGACCAGGACAACUGGUCUAACAGGCCGUCUUGUGGGGCGUCGAGGGUUGCUAGGCCUCCCCUCAGGUCUAGUGAUGCUGACAGGGAUUCUAGGAAUCAUCAUCUCAUGCUGGUGCAGGCUCUCUGGGCUGCUGGGCCGGGAAUCAGGUAGAAGCUUGUAGUUCUUCAG
rnacentral:lncRNA from 1 species